UCAUUCAAACCACCACACACAAUAACCAGAUUUUCUUUUUUUUUUUUUUUAAGAUUUAUUUAUAUUAUAUGUAAGUACACUGUAGCUGUCUUCAGACACUCCAGAAGAGGGAGUCAGAUCUCGUUAGGGAUGGUUGUGAGCCACCAUGUGGUUGCUGGGAUUUGAACUCUGGGCCUUCGGAAGAGCAGUCGGGUGCUCUUACCCACUGAGCCAUCUCUCCAGCCCAUAACCAGAUUUUCUAAUGACUGGUUAGAACUGAUUCAGUGAGCUCAUGACUGAAGAUUCCAGCGGCCUAUUUGCACACGACCCGACUUAAGCUGGCCGCAGUGUUCUAGUUGAGCUGGAUUUAAAUAACAAGAACAACCACAAGCGAUGACCCACUUGACAGACAAACGGAAAGUCUACUGAUUGUAAAAGAAUUGGUAAGUAAAUAAGUAAAUAAAUACAUACUAACAAAACAGCUGCACACACCUUAACCUCGGCACUCCAGAGACAGAGGCAGGCAAAUCUUGCAUUUUAGGACAGCUUGGUCUUGAGAGUGAAUUCCAAGUCAGCCAAGGCUAUACAGAGAAAUCCUGUCUCGGAAAAAGAAAAAAACAAAACCAACCAACCAACAACAAGAACCUCACACAUACUCACACAUACACAUGGUCUCUUUUUGGUCUCUUCUAUGUAGCCAAAUCUUGCCUUUUAUUAUUGAUUCUCUUCUCCUACCUCUCAAGUGAUGGCAUUUCAGGAGUGAACCACUAUACCCAGAUGAGCAAAUUGAAUCAAGCAAUAGUACAGACAAUUCAUUUCUUUUUUUUUUUUUUUUGGUUUUUCAAGACAGGGUUUCUCUUUAUAGCUCUGGCUGUCCUGGAGCUCACUUUGCAAAGAUAAACAUAUUUAAAUGGGAAGUGCCAUUGGGUGGCCAGAUAAGGUGGCUCUGAACUGGACUGAGAAGGAAUAGAGCCUACAGGAAGAAGUAGAGGAAAAGCAGGAAGAGGUACAAUUGGAAGGCACAAGGACAGCAGAGAACUUGUUCUAGUGAAGAACUGGAAGUAUCAGACAGAACUAGAGAGCAGCAAGAGACAUCCUGAUUAGGCUGAGUCAGAGCUCAUGGAUAAUCAUUAACUUUUGGCUUUGUGGUUCUUUGUUUGUUUUUCCUUUUUGUGUGUGUGUGUGUCUGUCUGUGUGUGUGUCUGUCUGUGUUUUCUGUUUCGUUUUUUGAGAGACUAUUCUGUAGCUCUGGCUAUGCUAUGCAGACCCCAUUGGCCUUGAACUCACAGAUCUAGCCUCCUCUGCCUCCCAAGUGCUGGGAUUAAUGGUGUCUGUCAGUCUGUCAGUCAGUAUGUCUGUCUGUCUGUCUGCCUUUCUGUCUAUCUGUAUUCAUUCAUCUGGAAAUCAGGCCUUGAGGUUCUAGCACUCGGGAAGCUAAGGCUGCAGAUGGCUUGGAAUGACGUGCCUACAGGAUCCUUUCUCGCUGUAUUGUUAAUAUUCUCUAGAUCUUAAGUUUUUGAGUAGCGGGGAUGUUUACAGAGAUCCCAUAUAAUAGUUAAAAUGUAAAAUUAUUUAAAAACGUUAAAUAAAUUUGAUUUUAUGCUUUCCUU
rnacentral:lncRNA from 1 species